GUGGCAGACGUUUGGAUAGCGCGAUAUUGCAGGGACAGGGUGAACAUGUAUUUAAAGGUUUGAUCAUUAAGGUAAAGGAAAAUACCUUCUUCUAGUUCUGCAUCUAUGACUGGAGCCUUACCCGAACAGGCACGCUAAACCGGAAGGGGAAUUCAGUGAGGUCGGGUUGUACGGGGUACAUAUCCCAUGCAUUGUAGGCAGCAUGAAUUAAAUGCAUGUAAUUGCCGAUGCGAGGACCCUGAACAAGCAAAGCAUUCAAGAAGGCCGCUCGCAAAGAGUCUGAAUAUCCUUUCCUUUAUAUAUAUAUAUAUAUAUAUUUAAUACAUAUAAAGUAAAAAAUAAAUAAAUAAAUAAAUAAAAAUAAGAUAAAAAUAAACUAAAGAUAA
rnacentral:sRNA from 2 species